rnacentral:rRNA from 1 species
CCUACGGGGGGCUGCAGUGGGGAAUUUUGGACAAUGGGCGCAAGCCUGAUCCAGCCAUUCCGCGUGAGUGAAGAAGGCCUUCGGGUGGUAAAGCUCUUUCGGCCGGGAAGAAAUCGCACGGGUUAAUACCCUGUGUGGAUGACGGUACUGGAAGAAGAAGCACCGGCUAACUACGUGCCAGCAGCCGCGGUAAUACGUAGGGUGCGAGCGUGAGUCGGAAUUACUCGGCGUAAAGUGUGCGCAGGCUGUGAAAUCCCCGGGCUUAACCUGGGAACUGCGGUUGUGACUGCAAGACUUGAGUGCGGCAGAGGGGGGUGGAAUUCCACGUGUAGCAGUGAAAUGCGUAGAGAUGUGGAGGAACACCGAUGGCGAAGGCAGCCCCCUGGGUCGACACUGACGCUCAUGCACGAAAGCGUGGGGAGCAAACAGGAUUAGAUACCCCUGUAGUC